UACAGAGGUCUCAAGCGUUGUUCGGAUUCAUUGGGCGUAAAGGGUGCGUAGGCGGCGCGGUAAGUCGGGUGUGAAAUCUUGGAGCUUAACUCCGAAACUGCAUUCGAUACUGCCGUGCUUGAGGACUGGAGAGGAGACUGGAAUUUACGGUGUAGCGGUGAAAUGCGUAGAUAUCGUAAGGAAGACCAGUGGCGAAGGCGGGUCUGCUGGACAGUUCCUGACGCUGAGGCACGAAGGCCAGGGGAGCAAACGGG
rnacentral:rRNA from 1 species